GCUUACGGCCAUACCUCUCUGGCUCCGCCUGAUCUCGUCUGAUCUCAGAAGCUAAGCAGAGUAGGGCCUGGUUAUUACUUGGAUGGAAGACCGCUUGGGAAUCCCCGUUGCUGUAAGCU
ensembl:rRNA 5S_rRNA 5S ribosomal RNA